rnacentral:rRNA from 1 species
GAUGAACGCUGGCGGCGUGCCUAAUACAUGCAAGUCGAGCGAACAGACGAGGAGCUUGCUCCUCUGACGUUAGCGGCGGACGGGUGAGUAACACGUGGAUAACCUACCUAUAAGACGGGGAUAACUACGGGAAACCGGAGCUAAUAGCGGAUAAUAUACUGAACCGCAGGGUUCAAUAGUGAAAGACGGUGUUGCUGUCACUAAUAGAGGGAUCCGCGCCGCUUUAGCUAGUCUGUAAGGUAAAGGCUUACCAAGGCUACGAGGCGUGACCGACCUGAUAGACUGCUCUCCCACACUAGAACUUAGACACCGUCCAGACUCCUACGGGAGGCAGCAGUCUCGUAUCUUCCGCAGUAGUCGGGAGCCUUACGGAGCAGCCCCGCGUGAGUGAUGAAGGUCCUCGGUUCGUAAUACCCUGUUAUUAGUGAAGAACAACUUUGUAAGUAACCAUGCCCUUCUUGACGGUACCUAAUCAGAAAGCCACGGCUAACUACGUG